rnacentral:lncRNA from 1 species
UUAUCCUUAUUAAUUAUUAUUAUUGGUUAAUUUUACACAUAUCUUUUUAAAUAUAAUAAAUUUAAAUAUAUUUUUAUAAAAAUUUAAUUUUUAUAUAUUAGUUUUAUAAAAAUUAUGAUGUUUUUAAAUAUGUUUCUAUCAUUAGGAUCUGUUAGAAAAAAUUAGCUAAUCAUGCAUAAAAUAAUUAAUCCUAAUUAGCUCAUAAGAUGAAUUAAUUUUUUUUUAUCCUUUUUCAAUUAACAGUUGGGACUUUUGAAGAGAUAUAUUUAUGAUGGCAAAAAUAUCAUUUUUACUUAUAAAAUAAAUAGGACUUUAACACAGUAACAAAUCAGAAUGACAUAUUUGAAAUAUUAGGAUUUUUGCAAAGUUAAACUUUAUAAGAAUAUAUUUAUAAUUUACUAUAUUUGUAGGAAUCUGUAUGAAAUUAAUCGUUUUAUUAUUAUAACUAAAAGGGGGAAGGGG